rnacentral:rRNA from 1 species
CACCGGCGGCUCGAGUGGUGGCCACUUUUAUUGGGUCUAAAGCGUCCGUAGCCGGCUUGGCAAGUCCCCUGGGAAAUCUGGCGGCUUAACCGUCAGGCGUCCAGAGGAUACUGCCAGGCUUGGGACCGGGAGAGGUGAGAGGUACCUCAGGGGUAGGGGUGAAAUCUUGUGAUCCCUGAGGGACCACCAGUGGCGAAGGCGUCUCACUAGAACGGGUCCGACGGUCAGGGACGAAAGCUGAGGGCACGAACCGG